GCGAUAGUUCUCGCCGAUGGUGCUCCGUUGCCGGUCCGGCGAUCCCGGCCGACCACGGAGAGAAUAGGGAACACGGUGUGAACCCGUGGCUGCCCCCGCAACUGUGAGCGGCGAGCAGGCCUCUUCCACGCCACUGAUCCUGCCGAACAGCCGGUCGUUUCGACCGCGGCACGAUCGGGAAGGCACGAGGCCUGCGACGACCCGUGAGCCAGGAGACCUGCCAUCGCCCGAUCCAUCUCG
rnacentral:ncRNA from 16 species